AUUUAAAUGUCAAUAAAUAUCUGAAAAUUUAUUGUUCACUCUUUGAAUGCUUUUUUUUUGGACUGCACUAUAAAGGUGGGCAUCUUUGGAUUAAAACUUAUGUUUAACAGCCUGCUGCCAUGUUUUAGGUUACUGUUUAAAAUUUUUAAAUAUUACAAAUAAAGUCUGCUUAGUUCUGGUGCCAGGAUUCUUUACAUGUCAACUUUCAACCUUUCUUAAUAUGAUAUGAAAAUUUGCUUUUGGAUGAAUAGGAGACUUGUUUUAAGUUUGAAUCAAUUAUAGAAUGAUUUUGCAAAUAAGAAUUAUGUGAUUGGAUCAUUGGAAUCAGUUUUACAUAACAGCAAAACACCUA
rnacentral:misc_RNA from 1 species